GGAGCUAACGCGUUAAAUCGACCGCCUGGGGAGUACGGCCGCAAGGUUAAAACUCAAAUGAAUUGACGGGGGCCCGCACAAGCGGUGGAGCAUGUGGUUUAAUUCGAUGCAACGCGAAGAACCUUACCUACUCUUGACAUCCAGAGAAUUUAGCAGAGAUGCUUUAGUGCCUUCGGGAACUCUGAGACAGGUGCUGCAUGGCUGUCGUCAGCUCGUGUUGUGAAAUGUUGGGUUAAGUCCCGCAACGAGCGCAACCCUUAUCCUUUGUUGCCAGCGAUUCGGUCGGGAACUCAAAGGAGACUGCCGGUGAUAAACCGGAGGAAGGUGGGGAUGACGUCAAGUCAUCAUGGCCCUUACGAGUAGGGCUACACACGUGCUACAAUGGCGUAUACAAAGAGAAGCGACCUCGCGAGAGCAAGCGGAACUCAUAAAGUACGUCGUAGUCCGGAUUGGAGUCUGCAACUCGACUCCAUGAAGUCGGAAUCGCUAGUAAUCGUAGAUCAGAAUGCUACGGUGAAUACGUUCCCGGGCCUUGUACACACCGCCCGUCACACCAUGGGAGUGGGUUGCAAAAGAAGUAGGUAGCUUAACCUUCGGGAGGGCGCUUACCACUUUGUGAUUCAUGACUGGGGUGAAGUCGUA
rnacentral:rRNA from 1 species